rnacentral:rRNA from 1 species
ACGGGAGGCAGCAGUGAGGAAUAUUGGUCAAUGGACGGAAGUCUGAACCAGCCAAGUCGCGUGAGGGAUGAAGGCCCUACGGGUUGUAAACCUCUUUUGCCGGGGGAUAAACCUGACCACGCGUGGUCAGCUGAAGGUACCCGGUGAAUAAGCAUCGGCUAACUCCGUGCCAGCAGCCGCGGUAAUACGGAGGAUGCGAGCGUUAUCCGGAUUUAUUGGGUUUAAAGGGAGCGUAGGCCGUGCUUUAAGCGUGUUGUGAAAUGUAGGCGCCCAACGUCUGCACUGCAGCGCGAACUGGAGCACUUGAGUACGCAGGAAGUAGGCGGAAUUCGUCGUGUAGCGGUGAAAUGCUUAGAUAUGACGAAGAACUCCGAUUGGGAAGCCAGCUUACUGUAGCGCCACUGACGCUGAUGCUCGAAAGCGUGGGUAUCGAACAGGAUUAGAUACCCUGGUA